CCACGACGAAAGUAGUAGCCAACCACCAUCAACCCAAACUCAUGUUUAACCAUAAUCCACUAUCAUUCAUCGGGACCACCGUUGGUCAUCGCUUGUUGGAACCAUCGUUGAUUGUUGUUCUUCGAAAACUGCUUCUCCAAAAGUUGGAUUUGUUACAAAGUGUGACUUCACCGGAGCCUUCAUCAGAGCAACUAAGGAAUUGAAGAAUGUUUAUCCAGGAAUUGCCCCCACCAUAUAUAUCCAGGAAUUGCCCCCACCAUAUAUAUCCAGGAAUUGGCACGGGUUGUAUAUCCCGGAGUGGCUUCCUAUAUAUCAAAUUUCAAAUGCCUUAGGUUGCACAAAACAUCAAAUUUUGUGGUUAAGAAAUCUGUAUAAGAAUUUAUGAAUCUUACCCCUUAAUAUUCAAUUCAUAAUUUUGCCCUCUUAGUCAAGAACUUUACCAUUAUUCAAUUCAUUAUGAGAAUUGGCAUAGAAUUCUUAAUGUGUAUCCAGGAUUUGUGAUUAAGGAAUUCUUAAGCUA